ensembl:snRNA U2 U2 spliceosomal RNA
AUUGAUUCUCUGCUUUUUGGCUAAGACCAAGUGUAGUAUGGUUCCUGUCACCUUACUACCUGAUAGGUCUUCUACUUGAGGAUGAUAUAGUAAAUGGAUUUGGGGAGUCGGAGAUGGAAGAGGAGCUUGCUCUCUCCACUCUGCACAUCGACCCGGUAUUGCAGUCCCUCUAGGAAUGGUGCACCCCCU